CCUCCCCAUCUUCCUCCCUAAGUAGUUCCUCCCCAUCUUCCUCCCUAAAUAGUUCCUCCCCAUCUUUCUUCCCAGAUAGUUCCUCCCUAAGUAGUUCCUUCCCAUCUUCCUCCCUAAGUAGUUCCUCCCCAUCUUUCUUCCCAGAUAGUUCCUCCCUAAGUAGUUCCUCCCCAUCUUCUUCCCUAAGUAGUUCCUCCCCAUCUUUCUUCCCAGAUAGUUCCUCCCUAAGUAGUUCCUCCCCAGGUAGUUCCUUCACCUUUCCCCCUCCUCUGUCCUUCCAAUUCUCCUGUGGUGGUCCCCUUUCCUCUAAUGGGUCAACUUCCUCCUCCUUCUUCUUGGAGAUUUUAAAUUCCUCGGGAUAAAAUUACGUCUAGUCAUGAUUCACCAUCGUGUCAAGGGAGAGUCAUGAUUCACCAUCGUGUCAAGGGAGAGUCAUGAUUCACCAUAGUGUCAAGGGAGAGUCAUGAUUCACCAUAGUGUCAAGGGAGAGUCAUGAUUCACCAUAGUGUCAAGGGAGAGUCAUGAUU